rnacentral:RNase_P_RNA from 2 species
GUUUGUUGUUGGAUGAUCGCUCGAUGAGGUUUUAAUUAUCUCAUAGGGAGGAAAGUCCGAACACGUACUUUAAUUUUUUAAAGUAACCGGGUAGCAGGUAAUACCUGUCGCGCGCAAGCGCCGAGGUGCGAACAGAGACGCCUAGAGGUGAAAACUAAAAGGCACCCCACCCGCCUGACGGCGGGUGGGGUGAGCUCUAUCGAAAGGUAGAAGUUGAAACGGCCAAAUCCUUACUCACGUGCAAGAUCGUAUUCUCAAUGCUUGGCAUUGAGUCUGUAUCGCUCGAGGUGAUUGGUGACAAUCAUCCCAGAUAAAUGGUCAUCCCCUGUGGAAUAAAGAGUUUAAAGUUUAGAGGUAUAACAGAUUCAGGACAACUGUCAGUGUCUGUGAAUAUUUUGAACUUUUUAUUCCACAGGGACAGAAUUCGGCUUAUAGACAACAAACUAAA